rnacentral:lncRNA from 1 species
AAUUCUUUCUAUGUUUCAGGUGUAUAGAAUGAAACAUAAUAUAAAAAUUCUUUCACUCUAUAUAAAAGCAGCACAAAUAAUGAUUCACACUGGGACCUAUGACCCUCAUCUUUCUUUGGAUUCCUAGUACAUGGACUUCGUCGAGUUAAAAUGAUGACAUGACCUCACUGGCCAAAAAUCCAUUACUAAAUAAAAGAAAAUAUUUUCACCUGGAAAAACUUUCACCUGGAGCAGACCAAGGAACAUCAAAAACGGACUUCCCUUGUGUGCUGCUAAAGAAGGCUGGAAGGAGAAGAUACAUUCUUAACGUGUUGUGUUGGAGUUAGAUUAGUAUUGCUUGUCUUUUAAAAGAAGGACGUCUUGCUUCAGUCUGAUGGUACACCAGUCAUAAUAGGAUGUCAAAGUAACCUAAAUGGAGUGAAUGCUCUCUGGAAUAUGUACAUGGUAUUGCAUUGUGAAUGAGUAAAAAUAAAUACAGUGCUUUUAAUGGAAGAUGCUCA